rnacentral:rRNA from 1 species
CGUAGGGUGCAAGCGUUAAUCGGAAUUACUGGGCGUAAAGCGUGCGCAGGCGGUUUUGUAAGUCUGUCGUGAAAGCCCCGGGCUCAACCUGGGAAUUGCGAUGGAGACUGCAAGGCUUGAAUCUGGCAGAGGGGGGUAGAAUUCCACGUGUAGCAGUGAAAUGCGUAGAGAUGUGGAGGAACACCGAUGGCGAAGGCAGCCCCCUGGGUCAAGAUUGACGCCCAUGCACGAAAGCGUGGGGAGCAAACAGGAUUAGAUACCCUGGUAGUCCACGCCCUAAACGAUGUCUACUAGUUGUCGGGUUUUAAUUAACUUGGUAACGCAGCUAACGCGUGAAGUAGACCGCCUGGGGAGUACGGUCGCAAGAUUA